rnacentral:rRNA from 1 species
UACGGAGGGGGCUAGCGUUGUUCGGAAUUACUGGGCGUAAAGCGCACGUAGGCGGCUUUGUAAGUUAGAGGUGAAAGCCCGGAGCUUAACUCCGGAACUGCCUUUAAGACUGCAUCGCUUGAAUCAUGGAGAGGUUAGUGGAAUUCCGAGUGUAGAGGUGAAAUUCGUAGAUAUUCGGAAGAACACCAGUGGCGAAGGCGACUAACUGGACAUGUAUUGACGCUGAGGUGCGAAAAGCGUGGGGGAGCAAACAGG